GGUUUGAGCUGUGCUUUCCAGUGAACCAAAAUGCUCCCCAGCUGCAAAACAGGGCUUCUCAUCUUAACCUCACCGAUAAACCAACUCAUCAAACGAAUCAGUCCGAUACUGUGCCAUAUAUGCCACCAGUCGCAAAUUGGAAACACUCUACGUACAGCUGCAUCCUGGCCUUGACCACGAACUGGAAGUGUACAGACAGAGACCGAUUCCUGUUACGCAAGAUGUCUGCGCAAUCAUCACUGCUAUCUACGUCAAGUCAGCGCAGCUACAAGGGCACGAUGUCAGAGUUCUCAUAAACAAUAUAAGUAACCGGUCUGGCACCUUUCCUACCACUAGAAUUCUCAAAGGAGAAGUGGGUCUGGUCCUACUGACUGCUCCGCUCCAAACAAACUCCAAGCGUUACUCAAGUCGUGGUUUGUAUUCCCAACAAAUCCUGCUGUGAAAAUCAUACCAGAGUCUGUUUGGUUGAACGUUAACAGUUCUCCACCAGUUGAUGCUGAUGCUAACGAAGUAGACUGUUCGCUGGUUAUUAGAGUUACAGAAGCAUGGCACUAGGGGAAACAUUCGAUCGCAUCCAAGCUAGACAUAAAGUCCUGCUGAGUGAGUCGGCUAUCAGAGCAGAAGAGAAGAUUACAGUUGGUGUGACAGACAUAUCCAUGCUGCAACGAAAAAACACUACCAGAGUUGAUCCAGCCAAUGGAUGCGUGCAUCGCGUCUAUCCGUGACUUCAUCCACGAUAUCAAACCACGCAUCUUACAGUCAGACUCCAUCGUGCCCAUCACGGAUCCUUACGGCCCCAGCGUGGUGGAUCCAGACAUGAGGUGCAUUGUGGUCAGUGAGGAGACCAAGAAAGGUGGAAAUGCUGUCAAUAGGGUCAGACAGCAAAAGGGAUUCAGGAGAGUGCUGACCGAGUUGGGACAA